rnacentral:lncRNA from 1 species
GCCUGAGUAAUUUAAAAUUUUUAUUUAUAAAUAAAAAUAUUUAUUUAUUAAUUUGUUUAUUUUUUGCUUUUACGAGGCUGGGUUUCUCUAUGUAACUUUGGAGUUUGUCCUGGAACUCACUCUGUAGACCAGGCUAGCCUCAAAUUCACAGAGAUUGGCCUGCCUCUGCCUCCCAAGUGCCGAGAUUAAAGGCAUUUACCUGAGUAAUUUAAGAGAGACUUUAUCUCAAAAUAAAAAAAAAUACAAAACUGGGGAAGGGGCGUGAUAGGGAACUAGGGCUGAAGUUGACUAGAAGACUACUUACUUUUCUGGCAUGCAUGAGGCCCUGGGUUUCAUCCCAGAACUGGGAAGGACAGAAGCAAGGGAGGGAGGGAGAGGCAGGCAGGCAUAAGGAGGCAACUAUAACAGAGAAAUUUAAAGGUAAACUAAAUACAGCAAAGGUGGGAAACAAUUUAAGUGUUGAAAUCAUUCCCCUGUCACCCACCAGCCUAAAGCCAUAUUGAAGUUGGUAUCUUCUGCUUUUAAAACUUCUAUCCUGACUAAACAACUUCAUCUAACUGCCAUUUCCUGGGGGAACCUCCCUCCCAUCCUUUAUAACAAAGCUGUAAAAUAAUUGCUGGAUUUCAGCAGCAGGAUGGUAAAUCAACAUACAAAACCAGAGGCUUUUCAACAUACCAAUAACAAGCUUGCCAAGACAUAAAUUAGGAAAAUACCCCAUUUACAUCAGCUUUUUAAAAGCAGCUCAAAGUAAACCAAAGAAGAGAAAGGAAGACAUUGGGAAAUCUAAGAAGAAAGACACCAGGAAGUAGAAAGGCUCAUGGAUUCCAUGUUCGUGGAUUGACUGGAUAGUGUGGAAAUGGCUACAUUUCUGAAAACAGGCUACAGAUUCAAUGCAAUCUCCAUCAGCAAUCCAAUGGUCCACACAGUUCCAGCCUCCUUUUGGAAAGGUGUCAGAAACUAGAGGGCAAAGCCUUUUCAAUAAAUGGUGAAAAGGAACUGGAUAGCCAAGCCACAAGCAGAAUAACAAAAGCAGAUCCAUAUCUUUUACCUUGUAUAAAAAUCAAUUCAAAAGAUUAUGGACUCUAAUACAGACUAAACAUCAAAGAGCUUAAUAUAAAAAUUAAGUGUUAAAGCUGCUAGGGGAAAAUGGGGAGCACUUAAAGACGGACAUGGGCAAGCACUUUCUGAAAAGGACUCCGACAGCAGCACCUAAGGACGGACAACAGGGAGGACAGAAAAUGUAAAACUUCCUGAGUAGCCAAGGAUAAUUAGCAGAGUGAAGAGACGGUCUACAGAAUGGCAGGGCUUGACUGACUAUACUUCAGGAAGAGGGCCGACUCUACCAGUUCGUGGCCUCGCUGAUUCCUGGGUGUGUGGGUCUCCCUCUACGAAAGUGUCACUUCGGGGGUCUUUCAUUUGGGGGCUCGUCCGGGAUUAGAGACCCCCCACUCAGGGACCACCGACCCACGUCUGGGAGUUUAAAUAUGUCUUAAACAGGU